GGGGCUGGUGAGGCGCGAUGAUGGCUGUGCGGUGUGAUGGUGGCGCGGCAGCUUGCAUUUAGUUUCCCAGCAAAGUGUUGCGUUCGCAUGUGGAGGGCAACGCCUGCGGUGCACGCGUUUUAAAAUAAAACCUAAUCGUCUUUGGCACAGAGAGCACUUGCGUUUCCUUCAAGGACUGAGGCUCUUGCUAUCAAGAGUUUGCUCUUUCUAUCUCAUUUUUUUAUCUCCCCCAGACUGUGUUUCAGCUCCCCAGCGCUUCGUUAUGCUUCCUUUUCUUGUGACUGCAGGGAGAGCUGCUAUGGGUGUUGCAAUCGCUCCAGCUUUAGUGCUUUCAACAAGUCUCAGCUCUUCCUGUUUCUAGCAGGUCUUGGUGUCCGAGCAUGAAGCUUUACCUGGAGGAAAGACUCUUGCAGCUUCGUAUGUGUUUCUAGCAAGGACAUACUCAUGCCACGGGGCUCUUCCUGCCCUUUUUUCAUAAGGACCUGUUGCACAUCCAGGAUAAAAUGCGGGAAAUUCCCUGUCUCCAUUUGCAGAGGCAAACACAGGCUGGGGAGCUGGCACACACGGAUACUUGGUGUCCACAGGGGUCUGUGGCAGGCUGAAACACUAUAUCUGGGAAAUAUGAAAUGCUUCAUUCAUCAAUAAGAGCUAGUAACUCUUGCUUCUGAGUGUUUUAAACGUCAGCGUGAACUCUGUCACCGCUGAUCAAAGUGGAGAAGGGUAAUGGCAUUGGAAGCUGAUCUGCUUCGUCUUGAGUACAUGGUGCUUUGAAAAAGGCAAGUCUGAAACACUGAGAAGAACCCAUGUGGCUUCUUUUCUUUCUUCAACUCUUGUAAGUAUCAAUAGAACUCGAUUUGGGAGCAGAGAAGAUUCCUCUUGUUUCUUUUUUUGCUGCUAGGAACUAAACUUAAACAGCUGAUAGAAUUAUUCACGUUUUCCUGUUCCUCUCAGAGGGGAAUGUGACUGUCAAAUCACUUGGAGCAACUUCCUGUGAUCACAAGACUGAGCUCUGGGUGCAUACUCAUCGCUUUUCCAUGUGCCCUGCUUUAUGACACUCAAACUACAUGCUUAAUUUUAAGGCUUUUUUCCCCUCUUUGCCUGCCUUUGGUAUUUUCUGCAUGGGUAGUUAGUAAUAACAAGCAAUGGAAACUGUGUGUGGAAGAAAAUAGUUUCUAUUAAUAGAGAAAAUAAGAAAGAAACCAUUCUCUGUCUGUUUCAGAAAGCUGCUCUGUCAAUUUAAAAAUCAAGUGAGAUUACGUCCAAACUCUGCAUUCAUGCAGGCAUGAAAACGGAGACCAGUUUAAAUUAGGAGGGACACAUAAGGUCUUUGGUCAAGCCCUGGCUCAAAACAGAGCCAAGCCUGGAGUCAGAGACAACUUUGCAGUUGGGUCAUGCUUCUGCAUCCAGUUGAAAUUGCCACAUUCCGACAUGGAGAACUGAGCCCUUGCUGCAGUGUUUGACCACUCUCAAGAGAACGAGGAACCCUGGGGGACGCCCUGCACUCAGCUGCUUGUCUCUGUUGCCACGCCAGGCUGUGAUGGGUUUCCCAGCC